rnacentral:rRNA from 1 species
AUUGAACGCUGGCGGCAUGCCUUACACAUGCAAGUCGAACGGCAGCACGGGGGCAACCCUGGUGGCGAGUGGCGAACGGGUGAGUAACAUAUCGGAACAUACCCUAGAGUGGGGGAUAACGUAGCGAAAGUUACGCUAAUGCCGCAUACGAUCUAAGGAUGAAAGUGGGGGAUCUUCGGACCUCAUGCUCAUGGAGUGGCCGAUAUCUGAUUAGCUAGUUGGUGAGGUAAAGGCUCACCAAGGCGACGAUCAGUAGCUGGUUUGAGAGAACGACCAGCCACACUGGAACUGAGACACGGUCCAGACUCCUACGGAGGCAGCAGUGGGGAAUUUUGGACAAUGGGGCAACCUGAUCCAGCAAUGCCGCGUGAGUGAAGAA